CUUCAUUUCAGACUUCGUUAGAUUGGACUGUUUUGGAUGGUAAAAGUCCAGCUGGUAGACAGUCUUGGAAGGGGAAAGAAAGAGCAAGGACAGUUCUCUGCAGCCAAUCAAGUCAGAAACGGGCAUCCUGUGCUGCUCAGAAUUUUGGUAGGAAGAUGCCAGCCUGUGAAGACAAUCCUUCUUCAAUUUAACUGACUAAGGUUUUCCUGCAGAAGAGGUUCAAAACAUAUGACUGAUGCAGAAACAAGAGCUGGCUCAGAUGAUGCACAGAGGAAGAACCAAACAGCAUCGACAGCCUCCUUCCCUUGAAAGGCUGUGAACUGAACUCACUUGAGCUCUUUUUUCUGGGUGGAAAGAUGAGUGCCUGUCUGGAUGCACAAUAUCUUCUAGGUCCUGUGCCUAAACAUCAUCUCCUGUUUGGCAGCAGGAGAUGCUGUGUUUAGAAACACAGCAAAAACUGGCUGGGCACGGUGGCCUACACCUGUAAUCCCAAUGCUUUGGGAGACCAAAGUGGGAGGAUUACUUGAGCUCAGCAGUUCAAGACUGGCCUGGGCCACAUGGUGAAACAAAAAUAUCAAAAAAUUAACCAGAGGUGUGGAAUGUCUAUAGUUCCAGCUGCUCAGGAGAUUGAGCAGGAGGAUUGCUUGAGCCCAGGAGCUGGAGGCUGCAGUGAGCUAUGAUUGAGCCACUGCACUCUAACCUGGGCGACAAAGGAGCAAGACUCUAUCUUAAAAACAAAAAACAAAAAACAACAAAACAACAACAACAACAACAAAAAACAAGCAGAAAAACCAAGUGCCACAUGCUCACAUGCCUCCUUUGUCCUCUCCUUUUAUUGAUAGAACAAGAGAUUAUAUUUGUCACAGGUCGGGGCUGAAGUAGUAGACAGG
rnacentral:lncRNA from 10 species